CGACGUGGCGAUAGCAUGUUGAAUGCACUAGUCCCCAAUGAGUGAUUCAAGUUCAGCAACGUCGCACGUGGUUGGUAUCUGGAUGGGUGACCAUCUGGACAAUCGCGUGAUGCUGGAU
rfam:Asian citrus Psyllid, Diaphorina citri - Florida Strain, whole genome shotgun sequence.